GUAGCUUGCUUUGCUUUCGUUAGCUCGGCGAUUGAUAUUCUGGAAAUAAUUAAGAAGACAAAAAAGGAAUGAUAAAUCAAUAACAAUGAUCCAAAUUGUUCUUGGAUAUGUAAAAUCGUCGCUACACACACUAGGGACGGAAAGAACGGGCUAGGCAGAUGCCGGAAGUGAGUCACCCGGCUACGGGAAAAUCGAAGUAGAGGUGGCGAACGGGUGAAGGAAGGGAGCCACCGGCGUGCGCAGAGACAGCGAACUGCGAAUCCCUGACCAUCUGCGCAACCGUUAGCCGCACCAAACGCAACACAUAUUGAUUCACGUGGGAGGAUAGGACAUAGAAGUAAAAGGAUAAAGUACUGAAAGCGGCUCUGAAAGUAUGCAGCCUGUACAAGGCACAGAGCAUAUGUACUUGGAGCUGCUUGGAGUAAGUAUCCGGUAUCAGGGUGUACAGCAUAGAAAUAGCCUAUUCCAAACUAUUAUAAUUUACAUGCUGUUGAGACGGGUUCACUGAUCUGUAUUUAAAUCAUCUAACCUUAGAUCUGUGUACCCAUGUAGGAAUAAAGAUUAUAAGGAUACACGAUCUCUUCGAAUGAAUAGAUUUUGAGAAUCGCCAAGAUCAAAGAAUUUUUAAAUUCUCGGAAAAUACAAGAAACGCUGACUAAAGAUAUAUGAUGACUGAUCGGACUUUUCGUAGUCUAAAAUGGAUGGGAUAAAUUCUUUUUGUAUGGUCUAAGGAUAAAUUCAUCGUCAAGCAGUGCCCUCUGCGUCCUAUGUUGCACGCGUAACUUAAUCCAGCAAGCGGUCGGUACGUAAAGACAAGAACUGAUGUUACCAUCGCUCGCUGCGUGUGCCCAGAUAAUGCAGAGUCGAAUAUUAUUAUGCCUAUGGAAUGUCGAACGGAAACAGACUAAAAUUCUCAUAUAACCCUGUCUGGACGCCGCAUACUUUUCAACUACGCAAAUUCAUUUGGACAAAUUCAGCAAUGUCAAUCUAACUCCAUCGGAUCGAAAAAAAUAAUGUUACCUACAUUGAUGCACAAUAAACAUGCACCAGGUUUACUGUUAACAGAGUUACAAACCUUUUCUUGAUUCAAAGGAUGGGAGACAUAGUCAGAGAAGUUUAAUCAAAGGAUGGAGAUACAUACUAGUUCCUAUGUAAUAUGUUCCAUAUGUAAUUGCUGUACAUAUUUUUAUUACUUGACUCGUAUCGUUAACUGAAGAUAAUAAUAAUAUGUAUCUUCAGUCAAUGCUCAUCUUCAUUCCGACAGAAAAUGCAGCUGACAUGUAAAAAUAGUUUCUUAACUGACGUUAGAUUUCCGUGGUCUUUGAAAAUACAGUUUAUUUUCAGUGGAAAACUAAAACCUUUCUACACAAAAAAAUACAUGUAAAUAUUUUUUGAAAAUUAGCUAAGACUCGAUUGUUAGUAAUGUUUGAGUCCAUGCUGUAACAAACCCCGAUAGAUCUCAGGCAAUCAUUAUCACAAAUGUAAUUAAAAUAAAUUUAAAGAUGA
rnacentral:lncRNA from 1 species